GAAUUGAGACACCCACAUGCUGAAAUACUACUCCUCGGAAUUCUUUGCACCUUUCUAGUUUGUCUUUUAAAUAUUUGUGACAUACUUAUUGACAUUUCUAUUGUCUUAUGCUGCGGCGGCCCUCAUUUCAUGGUUCUUUAACUGAUUUUUUAAUUGUAUUGUUAUUCUGGUCUCCUUGUGUAAUUGGUGUCACUUAUCAGUUUUAUUAAUUAUUAGGUGAUACAGGUCAGAACCAUCCAGCUGGGGUAUGGCAAAAUGAUAGAUCUAUCAUUGAGGUACGUUUCUGUUGGAAUAAUCCUGAUUAAAAGUGGUCGUGCUGAACAAGAUGGUGUGUGCUUUAAAUGUCUAUGCCUCCAUUUGCUAGAUUGAGUGUGAAUAAGGGUGUAGCCAAUCUGACCAUAAUAGGUUCAGGAUCAAUGAGCAAUUGAUUGUUAUUGUCGUAGCAAAUUGUCUCAUGGGACCCUUCAUGAUGUGCAUUUACUAACUAUUUGCAAUCUUUAGGUUUCCCUUUAUCUCAGGGAAUUUCCUUUUUCUUUUAUAGCCACUCAAGCAACUUGGACACAUGAAUGUUUUGAGGCCAUUGAUGCUGACCUUCACGUGAAGUAAAAGGCUCUUCAGUGCCAUUCGUAAAGAGAUGUUGCAUUCAGCAUCAUUGUUUUUUGGCUGGUAAACCGCCUCUAUAGUGUCACUUUCCUAUUAAGUUUGAACCAUUCUGCAUAUCAUUUUACCAAAUGGAGCACAUAGAGAGUUUAGGAUAUACUAUUAAUCUAGUUAUAUUACCUAUUGAAACAGAAGUGGAGAUGAUAUUACAUCCUUUGGGUAAAGCUCUCUCCACCUGCUGCCUCUUAUUACAAUCAAUAAUUACAGAGUAUAAUUUUGCCUAAAUGAGCCCUUAAAGAGCAAAUUAAUAGUGAGAUAGGCCCCAGGAUAAAAAAAGAUGCUGGGUCGAGUUUCACUUGAAACAUGAAACUAGGUCAGGAGGUAUCUUCUGUUUUUCCGUUAUUCUCAUUGCUAUUAAUUUAUAUUAGUGGGCAUC
rnacentral:lncRNA from 1 species